rnacentral:rRNA from 1 species
AUUGAACGCUGGCGGCAGGCCUAACACAUGCAAGUCGAGCGGAUGAAGGGAGCUUGCUCCUGGUUUCAGCGGCGGACGGGUGAGUAAUGCCUAGGAAUCUGCCUGGUAUUGGGGGAUAACGUCCGGAAACGGGCGCUAAUACCGCAUACGUCCUGAGGGAGCAAGUGGGGGAUCUUCGGACCUCACGCUAUCAGAUGAGCCUAGGUCGGAUUAGCUAGUUGGUGGGGUAAAGGCCUACCAAGCCGACGAUCCGUAACUGGUCUGAGAGGAUGAUCAGUCACACUGGAACUGAGACACGGUCCAGACUCCUACGGGAGGCAGCAGUGGGGAAUAUUGGACAAUGGGCGAAAGCCUGAUCCAGCCAUGCCGCGUGUGUGAAGAAGGUCUUCGGAUUGUGAAGCACUUUAAGUUGGGAGGAAGGGCAGUAAGUUAAUACCUUGCUGUUUUGACGUUACCAACAGAAUAAGCACCGGCUAACUUCGUG